UUAGACUCUUGAAAUACUGGGAUUGGAUGGUUCAGGAAAAUGAAUUCUAUUACGCUACUGUAAAACCACCUCUGACUGGGCCGAUCCAAAGCAGUGAUAACAAGUCUGAGAGGUCUGAACCAGAAA